rnacentral:rRNA from 1 species
UACAGAGGGUGCAAGCGUUGUUCGGAAUUAUUGGGCGUAAAGGGAGUGUAGGCGGUUCGUUAAGUCUUCUGUGAAAUCUACGGGCUUAGCCUGUAACGUGCAGAGGAAACUAGCGGACUUGAGUAUCGGAGAGGAUAGGGGAAUACCCAGUGUAGAGGUGAAAUUCGUAGAGAUUGGGUGGAACACCAGUGGCGAAGGCGCCUAUCUGGCUGACAACUGACGCUGAGACUCGAAAGCAUGGGGAGCAAACAGG